AUAUGCAAAUGUGGAAUGAACCUAAUGAAUAUGGUAAUUAACCACACCUCCAUUGUGUGACGCAUAUUCUUUCCCAUGGAAAAGCUCGGGCAUUCACAUCAAGCACUGUGGCAAUGUAGAAACAUGGUGAAUGUAGCAACAGGUAGUGGUGAUUUGGUGGAAGUAAUUGAAAAAGCAGUAGCUGCUGGUGUUGUAGCAGCUCUGCGAGGUCAGACUACGCCAACGUCGAGUGGACCUACAAUGUCAUCGACCAAAUUCAAGAUACAAUGACAUCUUUGAUGAGGAUGAGCCUGCUAAAAGGCCACGGCGUGCUUUACCCCUUCCACCAAGUCCACCAGCCCCACCGGCCCCACCAAGCCCACCGGCCCCACCAAGCCCACCAAGUUCAUGGGCCACACCAAGCCAACCAGCCAGCUCAAUGCCAGUAAUUACUCCAACAGACCGGCACAUUGUGACCGCGCUGGAGCACCUUAAGGAGGAGAUGGCAAUGAUAAAGCAGAUGCUCCUCCAUCUGACCCAGCAAUCUAAUACAGUUGCCACUCUACCAGCAGGCAUUAAUUUGCCUCUGAGCAGCUUGGCUGAACUCGAGGCCACUGAGGACAAAAUGAAGGACCUGGUCUGCUUCAAUGGAAUGACUAAAUACUUGUCUACUAUUGGUGGCACCAACCCAUGCACCAAUACCCGCCACGUUCUGUCCCGCAUCCUGACAACGCCAUUGGCACAACAGCUGUGCUGGCAGGGCUCUGGCAAGAAGGCAGCUUCUCUGCAGAGCCAUCAUAGAGGGGUAGAGAGAUGGAGAGAGAAAAUCACAGAGGAAAGAAGUCCAGAAUCCAACAAAAGACCAUGUAAAGUCAGCACUGCAGCAUAAUACAAGAAGAGGCUGGAGUGGAGACAGCAGAGACUGAUGUGAAUGUGGUGCCAGAGAAGGAGGACAAUCAAGGUCAUGUGGAAGUUAGGGAGGAAGAGGACAUCUCUGCAGGUCCAUCCUCCAAGAGAGCAAGAGACUCAUGCACUCUGGCCGACCUACUUGGUCAAAGAUAUGGUGCAAGUACUACAAAGAAACACAGAACCACACAGGACCAGGCAGAGGAGGAGAUGACAAGAUACAAGGAAGCAGCUCCCAUGUCACUUGCCGGAGGCAAUCCACUCAACUGGUGGAAGGAGCACCAGAGCGAGUAAAACGAUACCUAUGUAUCCCAGGGACAAGUGUCUCCUCAGGACGAGUUUUUCUACCGCGGGAGAUAUAAUCACUGCACAGAGGAGUGCACUUAGCUCAGACCAUGUAGACCAACUUCUGUUCCUAAACAAAAAUCUUAAAAAAAAAGUAGGCCAGAAUAAGUGAUGUGAUGAGGUCAGGCUAACAGGCUAGACAGGAGGGGGAGGAAGAGCCAUAGCUCAAUAUGUUGCUGUUUGUUGUUUACCAUAGUGAGUUGUGUUUUUAUUCUGAACUAAUGUGGUCAAAGUAAGUAACUGAAGUAGUUGGUAAAUUCUUGUAAGCUCUGAGUCAAUGAUCACUGACCAGUGAGUCCAGUCACUGAGACUGGACACAGUUUUUGUUUUUUGG